rnacentral:rRNA from 1 species
UACGGAGGAUGCGAGCGUUAUCCGGAUUUAUUGGGUUUAAAGGGUGCGUAGGCGGGCAUUUAAGCCGGCGGUGAAAUCGCGGGGCUCAACCCCGCCGAGCCGUCGGAACUGGGGGCCUUGAGUGGGCGAGAAGUAUGCGGAAUGCGUGGUGUAGCGGUGAAAUGCAUAGAUAUCACGCAGAACUCCGAUUGCGAAGGCAGCAUACCGGCGCCCUACUGACGCUGAGGCACGAAAGCGUGGGUAUCGAACAGG